AUUCGUACCCUUUGUUUGAUAGGUAUGGCAGCGUUAUUGAUGUCUUCAUCCCUGGUGACCGCAGAAUUGGUGAAUCUCGUGGGUUUGCUUUUGUUCGUUACAUGUAUCAAGAUGAAGCUACCAAAGCUGUUGAAAAGCUAGCUUGAUGGUUGGUUUUGAUUUUUCCCAAUUCAUCUUUUUUUUUCCACUUUCAAUUGUAUAUUGAAUUGGGUUUCUUUAAUUUGGGAAAAGAAUUCAACUUGGGUAUUCUUUUAAUUUAUAAUUUAUUGGGUAUUUUUUAGAAUUAAUUACCCCGAUUGGGUUAACUGUACAAAAUAGCUACAGUAGCUUAUGAAUAGUAAAUGUUGGUGCUAUUACUUAUGCGCCCUUGAAUUCAAUGAAUUGCCAAUUUUACCCUUUAUUGUUUCUGCUUUUUUGGUGGCCUGGAUUUGGCAGCUGUCUCACUUAGUUGUCUUCUUUCUCUCUCUUAACUCUUAAGUCUUCUUCUUUCUUCUCCUCUCACUAUAUUUCUCUCUCUUCCCGUUUCUUCUCUCCCCGCUCUAAUUUACUGUAGCUUAUGAACAGUACCCACGCUACUAUUCCUUAUAAACAGGGAAUUUCCGGUUGUGCCCUCUAAAAAGUUGGCUGAUAUACCUUUUGUCUUUACCCCUACUAUUCAAGUCACCUUGACUGCAUUUGCCUCCCAUCCGGCCUUUCGUACCCUUUACCAUGCUUUUUUCAGAUUUUCUUUCACUCUCCCAUGGCUGUUAUCUACUUCCCUCUUCUCCAUUUUCUUCCUUGCUCAUAUUGUCAUCAUCUAUUUGUCUAUUCUCCUUCAAUUUGUAGUCCAUGAAUAACCUGCAAAUUUUGAGUAUACAACAAAUCUUCAACUGGUAGCAAAAAUGAAAUCGGAAUCGUUGUUGUCGUUGUGGUGGGGUCCAACGAAAGAUCCGACGGCGGCGUGGUGGGAUAAAUAGAGGGUGUGUGAGAAGGAGGUGAAGGAGAGAAGAGAUUGUGAGGAAAAAGAGAUGGUUUUCCUCUGAAUUCGCUUUUGGAUUUCCUCUCAUACUCUCUCUUUGUCUUCAAAUCAACUUCCGUAUUUCCCCCUUUUCUCUCUCAUCCUCCAUUCUUUUCAUGUUUAACUUCUCAAAUUAAUCGAUUAAUCUUUGAAUUAUUUUGAUUUUUUUAUCAGGUACUACAACGGACGAUUCGUACCCUUUGUUCGACAGGUAUGGCAGCGUUAUUGAUGUCUUCAUCCCUGGUGACCGCAGAAUUGGUGAAUCUCGUGGGUUUGCUUUUUUUCGUUACAUGUAUCAAGAUGAAGCUACCAAAGCUGUUGAAAAGCUAGCUCGAUGGUUGGUUUUGAUUUUUCCCAAUUCAUCUUUUUUUUUUCCACUUUCAAUUGUAUGUUGAAUUGGGUUUUCUUUAAUUUGGGAAAAGAAUUCAACUUGGGUAUUCUUUUAAUUGAUAAUUUAUCGGGUAUUUUCUAGAAUUAAUUACCCCGAUUGGGUUAACUACACAAAAGUAGAUACUGUAGCUUAUGAAUAGUAAUUGUUGGUGCUAUUACUUAUGCGCCCUUGAAUUCAAUUAACUGCUAAUUUUACCCUUUAUUGUUUUUGCUUUUUUGGUGGCCUGGCUUUUGGCAGCUGUCUCAGUCAGUUGUCUUCUUGCUCUCUCUUAACUCUUAAUUCUUCUUCCUUCUUCUCCUCUCACUAUAUUUCUCUCUCUUCCCGUUUCUCCUCUCCCCGCUCUAAUUUACUGUAGCUUAUGCACAGUGCCCACGCUACAAUUCCUUAUAAACAGGGAAUUUCCGGUUGUGCCCUCUAAAAAGAUGGGCUGAUAUUUCUUUUGUCUUUACCCCUACUAUUCAAGUCACCUUGACUGCAUUUGCCUCCCAUCCGGCCAUUCGUACCCUUUACCAUGCUUUUUUCAGAUUUUCUUUCACUCUCCCAUGGCUAUUAUCUACUUCCCUCUUCUCCAUUUUCUUCCUUGCUCAUAUUGUCAUCAUCUAUUUGUCUAUUCUCCUUCAAUUUGUAGUCCAUGAAUAACCUGCAAGUUAGGGUUUUGUAUCCUAAGAUAAAUUUGUUAUUAGUUUUAAAUUAAAAUAUUGGGAAACAGUCGAAAAAAAGCUUCUAGGUUUUAAUUUUUUCUGGG